CUUCUAGGAGGAAGAGAGACGUUUUCCUCUAUCCGAGUGAGCGCCGGAGAAGAACGUUACGCAAGAAUUUGAUGGCGCUAGCAGAGACUAUUUGGUAGCGUAUGCUGGAAUGCGUAAGGAUGACAGGACUAUUAUUGCAUUUUCACGAGCUCUAGAUUGAAAAAUAACAAGGCCCGAGCGAAAACACGAUGCAGAUGGAUCUAUUCUUUUGAUCUGGAUCAGCACCAUACGCUGUUGAGUAUAUUUUCUCUGGGCUUUCCCAAGUUCGAGCAUCCCAAGUAUCACACCUGGACCUCCAGCACUUUCAAUCUCACGAUCCUCGCAGAAAUAGGAUUUGUAGAUGCGGAAAUGGUCUCUUAACUGAUUCUUUCGACAUCAGUCAUUGUCUUUUCACCUGCUCUUCAGGAUGAGCAAUGUCAGCUAGAAUCGAAAUUCAUCAACAUACUCGACCGAAAUAACAUCAAAGACGUU